UACGGAGGGGGCUAGCGUUGUUCGGAAUUACUGGGCGUAAAGCGUACGUAGGCGGCUUUGUAAGUUAGAGGUGCAAGCCCGGGGCUCAACUCCGGAAUUGCCUUUAAGACUGCAUCGCUAGAAUCAUGGAGAGGUGAGUGGAAUUCCGAGUGUAGAGGUGAAAUUCGUAGAUAUUCGGAAGAACACCAGUGGCGAAGGCGACUCACUGGACAUGUAUUGACGCUGAGGUACGAAAGCGUGGGGAGCAAACAGG
rnacentral:rRNA from 1 species